GACGAACCGUGCGAACGUUAUUCGGAAUCACUGGGCGUAAAGCGUGCGCAGGCGGUUAUGUAAGACAGUUGUGAAAUCCCCGGGCUCAACCUGGGAACUGCAUCUGUGACUGCAUAGCUAGAGUACGGUAGAGGGGGAUGGGAAUUCCGCGUGUAGCAGUGAAAUGCGUAGAUAUGCGGAGGAACACCGAUGGCGAAGGCAAUCCCCUGGACCUGUACUGACGCUCAUGCACGAAAGGCGUGGGGAGCAAACAGG
rnacentral:rRNA from 1 species